GUAGGUGGCAAGCGUUGUCCGGAUUUAUUGGGCGUAAAGGGGGCGCAGGCGGUUUCUUAAGUCUGAUGUGAAAGCCCACGGCUUAACCGUGGAAGUGCAUUGGAAACUGGGGAACUUGAGUACAGAAGAGGAAAGUGGAACUCCAUGUGUAGCGGUGGAAUGCGUAGAUAUAUGGAAGAACACCAGUGGCGAAGGCGACUUUCUGGUCUGUCACUGACGCUGA
rnacentral:rRNA from 1 species